CGUGCAGGCGGCCACCGCAAGUUGAAUGUGAAAUCCCCGGGCUUAACCCGGGAAGUGCGUUACAAGACUGCGGGGCUUGAAUACGGGAGAGGAUCGUGGAAUUCCUGGUGUAGAGGUGAAAUUCGUAGAUAUCAGGAGGAACACUCGUGGCGAAGGCGACGGUCUGGACCGAUAUUGACGCUGAGACGCGAAAGCGUGGGUAGCAAACA
rnacentral:rRNA from 1 species